rnacentral:rRNA from 1 species
CAUGUACGGGAGGCAGCAGUGAGGAAUAUUGGUCAAUGGGCGAGAGCCUGAACCAGCCAAGUAGCGUGCAGGAUGACGGCCCUCCGGGUUGUAAACUGCUUUUAGUUGGGAAUAAAAAGGGACUUGUCCCUUCUUGUAUGUACCUUCAGAAAAGGACCGGCUAAUUCCGUGCCAGCAGCCGCGGUAAUCAUG